rnacentral:rRNA from 1 species
UACGUAGGGUGCAAGCGUUAAUCGGAAUUACUGGGCGUAAAGCGUGCGCAGGCGGUUGUGUAAGACAGAUGUGAAAUCCCCGGGCUCAACCUGGGAACUGCAUUUGUGACUGCACGGCUGGAGUGCGGCAGAGGGGGAUGGAAUUCCGCGUGUAGCAGUGAAAUGCGUAGAUAUGCGGAGGAACACCGAUGGCGAAGGCAAUCCCCUGGGCCUGCACUGACGCUCAUGCACGAAAGCGUGGAGGA